rnacentral:rRNA from 1 species
CGUGAGUGAUGAAGGCUUUCGGGUCGUAAAGCUCUGUCAAGUGGGAAGAAAAUACGGUAUGCCAAUACCACACCGUACUGACGGUACCACUGAAGGAAGCACCGGCUAACUCCGUGCCAGCAGCCGCGGUAAUACGGGGGGUGCAAGCGUUAUUCGGAUUUAUUGGGCGUAAAGGGCGCGUAGGCGGUCCUUUAAGUCAGAUGUGAAAGCCCGGGGCUCAACCCCGGAAGUGCAUUUGAAACUAAAGGACUUGAGUAUGGGAGAGGGAAGUGGAAUUCCUGGUGUAGAGGUGAAAUUCGUAGAUAUCAGGAGGAACACCGGUGGCGAAGGCGACUUCCUGGACCAAUACUGACGCUGAGGCGCGAAGGCGUGGGGAGCAAACAGGAUUAGAUACCCUGGUAGUCCACGCAGUAAACGUUGAACACUAGGUGUAGCGGGUAUUGACCCCUGCUGUGCCGCAGUUAACGCAUUAA